GGAGGGUAUAGCUCAGUGGUAGAGUGCAUGCUUAGCAUGCACGAGGUCCUGGGUUCAAUCCCCAGUACCUCCA
rnacentral:tRNA from 1 species